GCCAACAAGAUGAUUGGCGAAACGUCAGCAAGUUCGACUCAGCAGAAAACCGACGCAGGAGGAAUCCAGAAGUUUUGUAAAAAGUAUUACAGUAGUCUGUGGAAGUUUCUUUGAAAAAAAACUAUGUGCAAUUGUUCGAUAAUAAAAAUACAAAUGUACACCAAUUUCGGGGGAACUUUUACGUGAGAAGGCUAAGUUUGUGGAAAGUUUGCUGGUUUAAUGAAAGAAAAAAACCUAACUCCGCAUCAAGUAUAUAAUACUGACAAAAGUGGGCUUUUAUGGAGAAUUUUUCCCAACAAAACAUUAGCACAUUCAGAAGAAAAUUUUGCUCCAGUGCGAAAAGUAAAAAUAGGACAAAGGUCAACGCACGGCUUGGGUAACAAGAGAAAUUUUCACUGAGUGGUUUCACAGUGAAUUAGUUCCAUCAGUAAGACGCAAGUCCGAGGGCAAUUCUAGUCUUCGAUAAUGCACCUGGACAUCCUACUCAAUUGUACAGCGAUUAUAAUCAAAUUUCUGUGCAUUUCCUUCCCCCAAAUUGUACACCAUUGAUAUAGCCAACACGUUACACAGGCUAUAAAAAUAUUUUAUCGUAAGAAGUUGCUCCAAGAAAUUGUUGAUUGAAGGAUAUAACACUGAUUGUUUUCUCUUUGAACGAGGCUUGGUAAAAUGUGGGCACUGGCUUAAUUACAAAAUCUUUGAGUAAAAUUUUACCUCCAAAUGUUGAUGAUAGUGAUGAAGAAGGGGACAUUCCGUUAGCGUGCUUAGUAAGACAAAUUCGAGAUUCAGAAUCCAAGGAUUCAAAAUGACCUGGAAAAGAUUGAGGGAUUAGGUAAGAAACUUGACUACAGCUUAACGAAUAAAGAGAUGGAAACAUGGGUAUCAAUGAUAAAGCAAUCAGCGACGUAUUCUGGCUGUGAAUCUGAUGAGAAUUACGACGAUAUUUCCGAACCUCCGUAUUUCGUGCAAAAUGCAUGGAAUCGUGUUCUUGCAGGAAUUAAGAAAUAAAGCUCAAGAUGCAGUGUUUAAAAAUAAGAAACAAACAAAAAUUACAAAUUUCUUUACAGUUGUGGGCAAAAUAAAAAACAACACAAUGAUUUAAUUUACAAAACUUUGGUAUUCCUCCUGCAUCGGUUGGUGUUGAAUCAAACUUGCUAACUUUUUGUCAAUCAUCCUGUUGGCUUCUUCAGAGCGUAACUGAAACUGGUAAGCAUUACUAGUCUGUACCCAGAAUUAAAACACAUCUGCUCUUCUCCCUAAUAAUUUCCACAUUAGAGAUAUUAGGCGUCCCAUCAAAAAAUACACUUUAAAACAACCUUCCAAAGACAAAGAGUCCAAAAGCAAUCCCACAUCUGCCACUGUUGUCCUACCUCACAUUCAAACCACCACUGGCCUCAUAUCAAAAGUACUUAAGCAAUAUAACCAGACGUUUACAGCAUUCCAUGCAUAUGAGGCAAAGAAAAAUAUCAAAUAGACUCAAAAAACAUGAAAGGGCCUAAGACUAAGACAAAUAAACACAUCAGCAGUUGCCGAACACAAUCACGAAACCGGAUAAAAAAUUCGAUAAAACUAAAAUUCUUGCAUGUAAUCAAAUAUUCUGAGAAUCUAUACAAACCUAUAUGCAACCAAACAAUCUUAACCGCGACGCAGGUCUUUACCUGUCACCAAUAUGGGAAUCAGUAAUCCGAGACGAUGUUUAUGUCCCUCAUUUAGCUCCGCCCCCCUCAAACAAUAGGUACAGAGUCAAAUACGAGUAAAAAACGUCAGCAAGUUCGACUCCGCAAAAACCGACGAAGGUGGAAUCCAGAAGUUUUGCAAACAGGAAAUAUUUAUAUUUAAAUAUAUCAAAUACAAAUAUCCCUUCCCUAUAUUCUAAUAUGCCCCGCGAUCGUAACUUUGCAAAAAAAACCUGGCUUGGUAGUGAAUCUCAGAAGAAAUCCUUUUCUAUUGCCUCCCUCCACCAUGUCGCGAUUUCUUUUGCCCGUGAAAUAGUUUGCAGGCAAUUUAUAAACUCGCCAGUAGCAGACACUGAGAAAUACCAAGAUAGAAAUAACGUAAUUGUACAAAAAAGUCUAUACCGAGAAGAAACCAAUUUCCAAGAAAAAAGUGAUCGACAUACUAAUUUGUGUUUUGGUUAGUUUUGGUUACCUAGUUUAGUUUUUGUGAAAAAAAAUGCGAUUUCAUUAGAAAAAAAUCUUAAUUUUAGUACAGGAAGUAGAUAUCUCCGUCUGCCAAUUUUGACAGUCAACCAAUUAAAGAACAAAAUAAAAUCCAAAAUUGCUUGUUGGUUUAUAAAACGUAUUAUGAAGAACACACUGCAAAAAAAAUUAAUUUAACUACCUGCUCUUUAAAAAUAACAUUUUUCAUUUUCUGAACAUUUUUAAAAUGCGACAUGUCCCCUUUCUACACUUAGCAAUUCAUAUAAGAAUUAAUAAAAUUUUCAAAAUAUAAUCUAAAUUUAGCGAUUGCAAUUUUAUACAAAAGCGACUGGGAAAGAAUGUUGAACGUUGUUGUCACAUCAGUUAUGAACUGAUACCCUCAAGUUCAAUAACAUCAACUACACGAAUUUGUUUACGGUUUAUUUUGAUUUAUUUCAAUAAUAAAAUUGUUACGACGUUAUUGAUAACUAGCUAAUAUUUUGAACUGCCGAUAAAAUCAACUAAAUAAACGAUUCAACUUAUUUAUUGCGUUUCUGCGAAUAUCGACAUUUGUUAAAGCUGUUAAAGCGAAUGAAUUGUUAAUCACAAAACAACACGUUCUUCAAAUGUUAUUUAUUAAAUCUCUGACAAACGGGAAAGCUUAUAAAGUUUCAGUAGUAUGAGGUAUUAGCUAACCUAAUGAAAUUGAAUCAUUUUUGCACUAGGUGGUCAUUUUUUCAAGUUUCUAUUUUAGCUCAAAUAGAA